CAGCAGCCGCGGUAAUACGUAGGUGGCAAGCGUUGUCCGGAAUUAUUGGGCGUAAAGGGCUCGCAGGCGGUUUCUUAAGUCUGAUGUGAAAGCCCCCGGCUCAACCGGGGAGGGUCAUUGGAAACUGGGAAACUUGAGUGCAGAAGAGGAGAGUGGAAUUCCACGUGUAGCGGUGAAAUGCGUAGAGAUGUGGAGGAACACCAGCGGCGAAGGCGACUCUCUGGUCUGUAACAGACGCUGAGGAGCGAAAGCGUGGGGAGCGAACAGGAUUAGAUACCCCUGUAGUCCCUGUCUCUUAUAC
rnacentral:rRNA from 1 species